UCAGAUAGUUACUUUAUUUCUCCCCAGUGCUAAAUUCAAGUUUCCACACAAUCACUGACAACACUGUGUUUUAAUCCUAAGAACAGAUGAGCAAAGAACUGCUUGAAUAACUGCUGUGACUUAUUUAAGUCAAACUCCUAACUCUUCAAUUAUGAUCUUGUUUCGUCAUUGAACCCUGUGCUGUUGCACAUUUGAUAUGAGUAAGUUGUAUACUGCAUUGUUGUCGGUCUCAUUUCUUACAACGCAUACACACAGGGGCCCUCAUUUAUCAAGAACUGAGCGCAGGAUUCAUCGUGCGAUAGGACCCACGUGAGAUUUAUGAAAGGGUUCGUAUCUGACCAAUCCCAGCGUACGUAUGAUCGGGUCUUGAUAAAUGCGGCAGCUGAAAUCGAUCGUCAUCAACAUGUUUAUGCCCUUAAAUAUUCGUGGUUCAGAAGCCUCGCCCACAGAGGUCAAACAUGCAUUCUUUCAAGCUCUGUCAGGGUUACCUAGACAAAAAAGAAGAGGAAGGUUUUCUUCAAAAAAUGGGUUGGCCCCCUCAGCCUCCAGACCUCUCUCCAAUUGAGCUUGUGUGGGAUGAAUUGGAUCGAUCAAUCAGAAAAGGGCGUCCCACAAAUCGGCAGUCUCUUAUUGAUGAACUUAAGAAAGCUUGGAAUGCAAUUCCUGCUACAAACCUUAAAAAAAACUUGUGGAACAAAUGCCUCUUAUAUGCCAUGCUGUUGUUAAAGCCAGAGGAGGUUACUUUAGGGAAAGCAAAGUCUAAUCAAGAAAAACUUAAAUACCUGAUAAUUAUAGUCAAAAUGUUUUCUGAUAAGUUUUUCUUUAGAUAAUUAUCAGUUGCAAAGUAUUAUGAUCUUGUACAAAUUUGAUCUUGCUUCCAAACAAUUUACAAAACUCUCAAUGGGAGACAAGUACAAUUCAGAUGUACAUCUUACUUUUACAGAACAACAGUGAUAAUAUACAUGAGAGCAACAUAAUGUAGAAAAGAAAAAAAAAACUUACAGCAAGGCCUGCCUUUGGAAUUCAUACAAACAGCAAAUGUAAAUAUUAGAUAGUUAAUAUUUCAUUAAAUUUCAACAGUAGGUAUUUAGAGACAUCAUCACAUAGGUUUUCUAGCUCUGGACUAGAGUCUUAAAUUCGUGACAAGGCAGCAAAAUAAGAUUUAAGUUCUGUUCUAAACAAUGCAAGGGAUAGAUUUUUAGUUUGCCUUUUACCUUUAUGGAUGUGGCAUUUACCCAUAAUUAUUAUAUUGCAAAUUCUGAAAAAUUUGUUUGCCAUGUUAUAAUUUCCAUGUGCAACUUUAUCCAUUAAAAUUUUCAACCAGUUUACUAAAUCAUGCCAAAAGUUCUUUUUUUAUUUUAAUUUUUUUUAUUUAACAAAAAAACAGAGUGACAACAACAACAAAAUUGAACAAAAAUACUUUUGUGAGGGAGGGGAGGGGGAAAUACUAUAUACAAUAGAGAAUAAAAAAACUCUUAAUUAGAUUACAUUGAAAUAUAUAUAAUAAUAACUAUAUAUACAUACAUACACACAUAUAUAUAAAUAUACAUACAUAUACAUAUACAGUGCAUCUGGAAAAUACUCAUACCACUUUUGUUAUGUUACAGCCUUAUUCCAAAAUGGAUUAAAUUUCUUUUUUCCCUCAAAAAUUCCACACAAAAUACCCCAUAAUGUCUAAGUGAAAAACUUUUUUUUUAGAACAUUUCGCAAAUUUGUUGAACAUAAGACACCCAAAUGUUGCAUAUACAUAGGUAUUCACAUCCUUUGUUAAAAAACCCAAAAAUUGAGCUCAGGUGCAUCCUGUUUCCACUGAUCAGCCUUGAAAUGUUCCUUCAACUUGAUUGCAGUCCACCUGUUGCAAAUUCAGCUGAUUGGACAUGAUUUGGAAAGCCACACCUGUCUAUAUAAGAUCCCACAGCUGACAGAGCACGUCGGAGCACAAACCAAGCCAUGAAGUCGAAUGAAUUGUCUGUAAACCUCCGAAACAGGGUUGUAUCAGCGCACAGAUCUGGGGAAGGUUACAGAAAAAUAUCUGCUGUUGAAGAUCCUAAAAAGCACAGUGGUCUCCAUCAUUAAGAAAUGGAAGACGUUUGGAACCACCAGGACUCUUCCUAGAGCUGGCCGCCCAGCCAAAAUGAGCAAGCGGGGGAGAAGGGCCUUGGUCAGGGAGGUGACCAAGAACCCGAUGGUCACUCUGACAGAGCUCCAGCGUUCCUCUGAGGAUAUGGGGGAACCCUACAGAAGGACCACCAUCUCUGCAGCACUCCGCCAGUCAGGCAUUUAUGGAAGAGUGGCCAGACGGAAGCCACUCCUCAGUAAAAAGCACAUGACAGCCCACUUGGACUUUGCUAGAAGGCACCUGAAGGACUCACAGACCAGGAGAAACAAAAUUCUCUCGUCUGAUGAAAUGAAGAUCGAACUCUUUGGCCUGAAUGCCAAGCGUCAUGUCUGGAGAAAACCAGGCACCGCUCACCACCUCGCCAAUACCAUCCCUACAGUGAAGCAUGGUGGUGACAGCAUCAUGCUGUGGGGAUGUUUUUCAGCGGCAGGAACUGGGAGACUUGUCAGGAUCAAGGGGAAAAUGAAUGCAGCUAAGUACAUUGAAAUCCUUGAUGAAAACCUGCUCCAGAGCGCUCGAGACCUUCAGCUGAGGCGACGCUUCAUCUUCCAGCAUGACAAUGACCCUAAGCACACGGCCAAGAAGACAAAGGAGUGGCUUCAGGACAAGUCUCUGAAUGUCCUUGAGCGGCCCAGCCAGAGCCCAGACUUGAACCCGAUUAACAUCUUUGGAAAGACCUGGAAGUAAUUGUGCACCGACAUUGCCCAUCCAACCUCACUGAGCUUGAGAGGAUGUGCGAGGAAGAAUGGGGAAAAACUCCCCAAAUCCAGGUGUGCCAAGCUUGUUGCAUCAUACACAAGAAGACUGGAGGCUGUAAUCGUUGCCAAAGGUACUUCGACCAAGUAUUUAGUAAAGGGUGUGAAUACUUGUGUAUUUGAGUGUCUUAUUUUUAAUAAAUUUGCAAAAUGUUCUACAAAAGGUUUUUCGCUUUGUCAUUAUGGGGUAUUUUGUGUAGAAUGUUUGAGGGAAAAAGGGAAUUUAAUCCAUUUUGGAAUAAGGCUGUAGCAUAACAAAAUGUGGAAAAGGUGAAGUGGUAUGAAUACUUUCUGGAUGCACUAUACACACACAUACACACACACAUACAAUCCCCCCGAACCACCGACACAACAGCGACGAUACAACAACCACAACAGCAUCACUGAUAACAACAAUAGCAAUACCGGCAAUAAUGACAAUAAACGAAUGACAAAGACGACGACAACAAAAAUAAUAACAGUAAUAAUGACCACGACGAGGAUACAAAGCAACAAAAAUCACUACAAUAUACAACACCAUUGUCCGGACCAGAGGCCAGCCCGGCCCCCUGCACCGCCAAAAAGCAGGCCGACCAGUACCCACGUCCACCGUGGUGGGACGCCCGUGGGGCACCCCACAGGGCCCCGCCCCACGACCACCACAGUCGUUAAAGGUGAAACUGAGAUCUUGUUCCCAUUUAGCCCUAGAUUUCAGAGUCUUAUUUGCCAGAAAGUCCAGUAUUCUGCUGUAUAUCAGGGACACCAUGCCCUUAGGGCGUUGAAUGCCUUUCAUAUUGUUAUCAGUUACAGGAGAUUCUUGAGGGGUUGGGUGUCCUCCCUGUUAAGAGCAAAUAAAAUGCCUGACCUGCAGGUAUUUAAAGAAAUGUACAGCAGGAAGAUUGAAGGUAUCUUUUAACUGUUCAAAGAAUUUUAGAAUAUUAUUUUCACAGAGAAAAAGGUGCUGUACCACCUCUUAGUGAGACCAUCUCUAAGUACAGGUGGUAGUGCAGGAUUAUUAUGAAAGGGAGUGCUGCUAUGAAAUGGUUUCACACUAAGAAUACAUUGUUGUAUAACUGACCAUAGUUUGGAUGUAUGGUUGAUAAGUGGAUUAUCUGUGUCAUCCUUCAAAGUAUGGUUGGACUUAAUAAAGGGGAUACCAGCCAGUGGUACAUGAGCUGCAUAGAAUUGCUCUAUUUGCUUCCAAGCUGGAGGGUUGGGCAUGAAAAAGCCUUUGCUGUUGAAAUUCUCUUUCAAGAGGUACAGAAUAGCCUCAUUGUUUUUACAUGUAGGAUGUCUUGUUCUCGUAUUUAGAUAACUUUUUAGAUCUAAAAAGAAAUAAAAAAGUUGAUUACUUUUGGAUUUUGAUAGAUAUAUAAUUAGAAAAAGACAAACUGCACUACAGCAUGUAACUCUUAUUAUGACAGCAAGUUCCUGCACAGCUGUUAAACUGAAGCUGUCUUACGAAGAUCAAACAUUUCAUGGAUUGGCUGGGGCUUCAUAAGCCCUUCAAAUGCAUUUUUCCACCCAGUAUCUGCUUCGACUCACUAAUUCUGCAUAGUACAGCUUUGUCCAUUAUAAGAAGGAAGUUUGCUGUGGAGAGGCAUCAAUGAGCAUUUCUGUCAUUAUAAGGUAUAAUAAAAUUCAAUUCACUGUUUGCAUUGUUUACAGGUGAAGUGAGAUGUUCUCAAACCUCUACAGGGCUAUUAACCAAGGCCUAUAUUUAUACACUUUAAUGGCUUUAGCUGAAUAUACUUACUCCAUGUGACUGAGAUGUCAUCAGGAGACACGGCAUUAACUUUCACAGCUAUGCUGAUGAUACACAGCUCUACCUGGCCGUGUUUCCUGAUGACACAGGGCCCAUUGAUUUUUAGACAUUUUAGAUGUCCAGUCCUGGAUGGCAGACAACUUAUUGCAGUUCAACCAGGACAAAACCCAGGUUUCAGUCAUCGGUACAGGUCCAGAGAGAGAGAAACUGGAGAACAAACUCCGAGGACUGUCUUUUAAUCCCUCAAAAAAGUUACAAAUCUGGGUGUUAUAUUUGAUUUUAAUCUCAGCUUUGAAUCACACAUAUGUGAUAUCACCAAAAAGGCUUUUUAUCACCUUAAGAACAUCUCUAGAGUCCGCCAGCUUCUCUCUCAAGCCAAUGCAGAGACUCUUAUCCAUACUUUUAUUACCUGCAGAAUUGAUUAUUGCAAUGCUCUCCUCUCUGGUCUUCCUAAAAAGAACAUUUCACAGUUUCGUCUGCUGCAAAAUUCGGCUGCACGCAUGCUGACAAAGACCAGGAGGAGAGCCCACAUUACACCAAUUUUAAAGUCUCUGCAUUGGCUUCCUGUAUCUUUUAGAAUAGAUUUUAAGGUUCUUUUACUAGUUUAUAAAUGUCUUAAUGGUCUUGGUCCUCCUUAUUUAUCUGAUUUGCUGCUACGAUAUGAGCCCAGUAGAGCCCUCAGAUCUUCAGGUAGUGGUCUUUUAAUAGUCCCCAAAGUUAGAACCAAAACAUACGGUGAGGCAUUAUUAGUACCUACAGUUCAUAUUUUUAAAUGCAAACUCAAGACCUUCCUUUUUAGUCUGGCUUUUUAGCUGAUUUUUGUUUUAUUCUUCUAGCCUCUCUUUUAGUCUACUCUUUUUAUCUUGUGUAUUUUACUCCACUCUAGUCCCAGAAUUAUUAUUUUAUCUUUUAACACUAUUUGUUUAUUUUCUUUUAUUGUUUGAUUUAAAAACAGUUUUAUUAUAUGAUAUUCUAUUAUUAUAUUAUUAUAAUUACUCUUUUAUUUCAUUUUAUUUUCUAUCAUUUUAUGAGUUUCCUAUAUCUUGUCAUGGUUUUAUCAGUUUAGCUUCAGCUCCAGUGUUUCCCCAUUUUAGUUUAAGAUAGCGUUUCCUUGGUCCACUGGGGCUUCCUGCUGAGCCCUGACUUGGUGUCCAAGUGGUGUGUGUGUGUGUGUGUGUGUGUGUGUGUGUGUGUGUGUCUGUGUGUCUGUGGGUGGGUGGGUGGUGGGGUCUCUGUUAAAUGCGGGCUUAGAGGGUGGGUGGAUGGGUGGGUGGGGUUUUGCAAUUUGUAUUUUAUCUUGUAUUUUAUUUGGUAUCCCCUGACCCUGUCCUUCUUGUAUUCUUUAAUGUACAGCACUUUGUGAUACAGUCCAUGUAUGACAAGUGCUCUAUAAAUAAAAUGAUUGAUUGAUUGACUGCGCACUGAAUAUUACAGCUAUGAAAAUGCCAAUAGGCCACCAGAGGGUGAUGUUUACAAGCCAAUCACAGUGAUGUUAUAAGGAUAUUUUUCUUAUUUUUUAUCUACAAUGAUAACAAGGAUAUGAACAACAACAACUUUAGUUUUCUUCUUAAAUGGCAACUCUACUUACUGAAAGCAGUUGUAGGAAAUUCCUUUCAACCCAAAUUUCAGGAAGUUGUUUGAAAAUAAAAUUGCAUAUUGCACAUUUUACAUUUCAGAGACAGUUAACACAUGGCAUUAAAAUGAUAUUAUUUAUGAUGUCCUCAUUGUCUUUGAACAGGCAUGCAUUGGCAUACAGAUGUCUCCUUUGUACAAAGGAAUACUGGUUUUAGUUUUACAGAAUCUUGACUGGUUGGUCUCAAGCUGACCAGUUUUAAGGACAUCUAUGGCUUAAGGCAGUUACAAAUACCAAACAAUUAAGAAAAAAUUAAAACGAUUUUAAGUCCUUUUCAAUCAAGAAAAUUAAACUUCUUCACAUGAUGCCUCCAUGGCCUGUACUCUGCAGCUUGUCUGCACACAGUUAUUGCUAAUACAGCGGAAACACAUCCUCAGCACUUGAGGGGAACAGCCUCAUGGCCCCUCUGAAAAAUCAAAGUCUUCUUCACUGUGAAGAAGGAGAUGGUCUUGUUCCAGAGGUCAGAGCUAGAAGCCCCAGUGAGGAGUUGGCUGGCCAAUGCUGAGCGGAGCCUCACUGUCCUGUCUGUGCACUUUCUCUCCAAAAUCAUCACCUUGCACAUGCCAAGAAAGAGAAAGCAACAUCAGAUAUAGGCUGGAUAACAGCCAUGCAGAAACGUUUUCCUUUGAUUUAUAUAUUGCCACCAUGACUUAAAGUGGGUGAAUGGGGUUUAGUUCUUGUUUCUUUUCUUUCUCUUUUUUGUGCUAAAAAUGGCAUCAGACUUUAAACCUUUUUUUCCUGGUGCAAUAUUUCAUAACCAAAAUAUUUUACAAAAAGAAACCAAAACAUCAGCCUAAGCCCACACUGCGGCUUUGCCCAGAUAAGCUUACGUUGUGUACCCUCAUGGUGAAUAUGCAGUCAAAUAAGGUCCAGUCAGUCCAGGAGGCCUGUUUCAAGUACUAAGUGUCCAAGAUUGUAAUUUUACCCAC